rnacentral:lncRNA from 1 species
CCCACCCCCCUCCGUUCCCGUUCGUUCCCCCCGGUUCGUUCCCCCGCUCCCCCCCGCCCCCCGCCGCCCAUCCCGGCGCUCACCUGCGCGGCCCCGGCGGCCGCGGGGCUCCCGAAGGAGUCGAGCGGCGACAGGUACUGGGACUCGGCCGAGGGCGACGAGCUGCAGCGCGACCCCGAGUCGUAGUCCCCGGGGAAGCCCUGGAACAUGGCCCCGGGGCCGCGGGGGCCGCCCCGCCGCGACAAGGCUGCGGGUCACGCCGCCGCCACCGGCAUCACGGGCCGGGCGGGAUGCUCCGCUGUGCGGGAAGGCGCGGGGCGAAACGCGGAGGGGGCCGCUGGAGGGUCUGCGAGCCGCCGGUGUGUCCGCGCAGGGCUCCGGUGUAACGUCCCGGUGAGCGGCUACGAGCUCCGGUAUAUCCGUGCCGGGCUCCGGCGCGGCUCUGCGAGUCUCGCCUGGCCGGUAGCGAACGCCGCUGUGCCCGUCCCGAGCUCCGGUUGUGCGCUGUAAGCUCCGGCUCCGGCACGUCCGCUACGAGCCCCGGUGGCGCUCCCGCCGCUCCCCCGGUCUCCGGUUUUAUGAAUGAACUGCUCGCGGCAGCCCCGCCGCUUUAUACGGCGGGGCCCCGCCCCCUUACGCUGACGUCACGGCAGCCGCCGCCGCUUCUCCGGGACCACCGGGAGCCCCCCGAGCCCUCCCGGAGCUCGAAACCGCCGUGGCCGCGGUCGCCGUCGCCGUUGGAGGCUCCGG